rnacentral:ncRNA from 2 species
UCGUACCACUGGGGGAGCUCUGUUAGAGCUGAGAAAGAAAUUUGAUUUCUUGACCCCUUGAACCUGAUCUAGGUAAUACUAGCGUAGGGAAGUGGGCUUUUGAAGUG